UGAUGGUGGUGGUGAUGAUGAUGGCGGUGAUGAUGGUGGUGGUGAUGGUGGUGGUGGUGGUGAUGGUGGUGGUGAUGGUGGUGGUGAUGACAAUGGUGGUGAUGAUAAUGGUGGUGAUGAUUAUGGUGGUAGUGGUGAUAAUGGUGUUAGUGGUAAUGAUGGUGGUGUUGGUGAUGAUGAUGGUGGUGUUGGUGGUGAUGAUGAUGGUGGUGAUGAUGGUGGUGGUGAUGAUGGUGGUGGUGAUGAUGGUGGUGAUGAUGGUCGUGGUGAUGAUGAUGGUGGUGAUGGUGGUGGUGGUGAUGAUGGUCGUGGUGAUGAUGGUGGUGGUGGUGGUG